rnacentral:piRNA from 1 species
UGGACCAGAUCAUUCAUGAGGCUUGCAGU